UAUGAAUGAUAAUGCUGCUCUCAAAUGAUAAUCUGGAGCCUUGCAAACUUAAAAUAAAACUGCACAUUGUUAUUUCUGUAAGUUAAGUCUAUUUAUUACCAAGGCAUUUGUCAGUCUAAAAAGGAGAAAAUGUGAAUAACUGCGCUGCAGGUCGAUUUAACAGGGCUCCAGACAACAACAAAAAAAUCAUUAAGGAGCCAUUGGCUCCUAUAGGGGGGAACAUUUUUUUUUUUUUUUUUUUUUUUUUAAGAGCCACACAACAAUGGACUUAAAAUUUUAAAUCACUUACUUUUAGUCAUUCUGUUGUGUUUAUAUAUCUCCCCUUUAUAGUUUCAGCUUUUUCAUCUUGUGACUUUUCUGGGAAAUUAAUGUCACUAUUUUCAUUUAAAGGGUUAGUUCACCCAAAAAUGAAAAUAAUGUCAUUUAUUACUCACCCUCGCUGAUUCAUAAUGCUCCGAAGCUUCCUGACGCAGUGUUUUGAAAUUGGCCAUCACUAUAUAAGUCGUUAUUUUGGGGUUUUUUUGGCGCACCAAAAAUAUUCUCGUUGCUUUAUAAUAUUAAUAUUGAACCACUGUACUCACAUUAACUGAUUUAAAUAUGUUUUUAGUACAUUAAUGGAUCUUGAGAGAGGAAAUGUCAUUGCAGGCUAUGCAGGCCUCACUGAGCCAUCACAUUUCAACAAAAAUAUCUUAAUUUGUGUUCUGAAGAUUAACGAAGGUCUUACAGGUGUGGAACGACAUGAGGCCUUUACUCUGGGAUCCAUAUCCACACACACAUGGGAAUACUCCAUGUCACUAGAGAGCAACUCCCCAUCAUGGCUGCAGGGCAGGAGUGGAGCCACACGAUGGAACUGCCACCAUCCCUCUUACUGAUUUAUGAUCUGGAGAGCAACAAUAAAACAAGGAGGAGGCCCAAUUAUUCUUCUGAGGGAAACUGGAGAAAGUGCGUUAGCCUUGACUGCAGGAGAAGUGGGCGUGGGAGAGAGGGAAAUGAGUCUGGCCCAAAACCCAGCUAUCUCUAAGUAAAGUCAUGGAGAAACAGAUUUAGACCAUUCAAUGUCAGUGGUUCAGUGUGUGUAUCAAACUGCCAAAGUCACAUGAUUUCAGUAAGCGAGGCUUCGUUACCUCAUAAGUGUUUCGAAACGUUUCUUUGGCAGUUUGAUACAAGCUCCGAACCACUGAUUCAAAACAAAAGAUUUGUAAAGCUUCAAAGCUUCAUGAAGCAGUGUUUUGAAAUCGCCCAUCACUAGAUAUUGUUGAAUAAAGUUAUUAUUUUGUUUUUCUGGCACACAAAAAGUAUUCUUGUCGCUUCAUAACAUUAAGGUUGAACCACUGUAGCCACAUGAACUGUUAUAAAUAUGUCUUUAGUAGCUUUCUGGGCAUUUGAAAGUGUUAAUUAUCUUGCUGUCAAUGCAGGCCUCCCUCACCAUUGGAUUUUAUCAAAAAUAUCUUAAUUUGUGUUCCGAAGAUGAACGAAGGUCUUACGGUGCAGAACGACAUGAGGGUGAGUAAUUAAUGACAGAAUUUUCAUUUUUGGGUGAACUAACACUUUAAAACCUGAAAAGUGGAUAUAAAAACUCUACACACCCCUGUUUAAAACAUCUUUUUGUGAUGUAAAAAAAAAAAAAAAGAAUAAGAAAAUGAAAAAGAA